ACUUAAUCUGGACACUAUAAAAGA
rnacentral:miRNA from 2 species